GGGUGUGGGGAAACAGCCCGAGGGGCGGCCCGGCGGCACAAAGAGGGAGAAGGGCAUGAAUUAAUCAGGGAAUAUUUUAUAUGAGCUUAAAAUUGUGAGGGUGCUCACUGUGUGGUUUUGGGGUCAGAUGCAGCGUCCCGAUUCAGGAGAGCUGUUCGAGGUGGAGAUCGCCGGCGGCACAUGCAAGGAGCCACACCAAGAGAGGAGGAAGGAAACCAUUGCAGAAAUGGGAGUGGUGCAAAGCCCAAGCCUCAGAGCUCUGCUUUAGUGGGUCAGCUGCCAAGAGCUGCGUGACUCCACUUCCCUGGCUGAUGGAGUCGCCUUAUGAGAAUGAGACCAGGACAGCUGGAUCACAGACCUGCAAACCAGGCUUGGGCAAGGUGAACUUGUGCUUUUACUGUGAAUGUAGGCUGAAAGUACAUGUAUUUUAACAACUUUGCUAUCCUUCUACAUGAAAGAAAGAUCUGCUUGCUUUCUCUUUAGAUGAGUCCUUCUCCUGCAGGUUUGUCCUGUUCUUGUGUCACCACUAAUGCACUUAGGACUGAAUAAGCUCCCUGGCUGUUGCAUCAUGAGCAGAAUUAUUGCUUGCACUUCCUGAAUUUAUCUUCAUUUUCAUAUUGAAGUCAGCAAUAGUAGCUUUUAAUAUUAAAUGGGCCAGGCUGACAACUAGUAAAUUGAAACAGCAAACAAAAUGUGAUAUAAAAAUCAGAGGAGUCACCAUUGCUUUUCUUCCAAACACUUGAAAUAAGAGUAAAAAUCUUAUUUCAGUUUUACUGCUUGUAAAGGAGAAGGAACACUGGGG
rnacentral:lncRNA from 1 species